GUGGGUACAGCUCAGUGGUAGAGCAUAUGUUUGCAUGCACGAGGUCCUGGGUUUAAUCCCCAGUAUCUCCA
rnacentral:tRNA from 1 species